rfam:Felis catus isolate Cinnamon breed Abyssinian chromosome B1, whole genome shotgun sequence.
GCCUGGGUGGCUCAGUCAGUAGAGCGUCCAACUUCGGAUCAGGUCAUGAUCUCAUGGUCUGUGAGUUCAAGCCCCGCCUCGGGCU